rnacentral:lncRNA from 1 species
AAAUUAUGGAAAUGUUCUUACCAGAAAGGGUUUGAGCUGUUUUCUUUUUUGGUUCCUCUAGAAUUCAUCACUGACCAAGUUGUUAUCAUUGACCAGGAGUCAACCUCUGAACUAAAAUUGACUACUGCUCUAGAGUCUACCCCUGCCCUUGAGUUAACCACUGCCCUAGACUCAACCACUAUUCUAGAAGUGGCCACUGCCCUAGAGUCAACCUCUGACCUAUCAGACUCCAGCACAGCCCUAGAGUUGACCACUGUCCUAGAGUCAGCCACUGCCCUAGAGUCAAACUCCGUGCUAGAGUCAACCACUGCCCUAGAAUUUACCACUUCCCUAAAGUCAACCACUGACUUACCAGACUCAACCACUGCCCUAGAGUCAACCACUGCCCUAGAGUCAACCCCUGCCCUAGAGUUGACCUCUGCCCUAGAGCCAACCACUGACCUACCAGACUCAUCCACUGCCCUGGAGUUAACCACUGCCUUAGAGUCGACCACUGCUCUAGAGUCGGCCACUCCUCUAGAGUUAGCUACUGCCCUCAAGCUGACUACUGCCCUAGAGUCAACUACUGACCUACUAGACUCAACCACUGAUCUAGAGUCGACCACCUACCUAGAGUCAACCAGUGCCCUAAAAUUGACUAGUGCCCUAGAGUCGACCACUGCCCUAGAGUCAACCACUGACUUACCAGACUCCUCCACUGCCCUAGAGUCGACCACUGCCCUAAAGUCAGCAACUGCCCUAGAGUCAACCAGUGCCCUGCCAGACUCAACCACUGAUCUAGAGUCAACCACUGCCGUAGAGUCAACCACUGACUUACUAGACUCGACCACUGCCCUAGAGUCAGCAACUGCCCUAGAGUCAACCACUGCCCUGCCAGACUCGACCACUGCCCUAGAGUCAACCACUGCCCUAGAGUCAGCAACUGCCCUAGAGUCAACCACUGCCCUGCCAGACUCGACCACUGCCCUAGAGUCGACCACUGCCCUAGAGUCAGCAACUGCCCUAGAGUCAACCACUGCCCUGCCAGACUCGACCACUGCCCUAGAGUCA